GCGUCCAUUGUUUAAUGGAUCGGGCAGAGGUGUUCUAAACCUUUGGCAUAGGUUCAAAUCCUAUUGCACGCA
rfam:Amborella trichopoda AMTR_V1.0_contig_28324, whole genome shotgun sequence.